GUGGGGAAUAUUGGACAAUGGGCGAAAGCCUGAUCCAGCCAUGCCGCGUGUGUGAAGAAGGUCUUCGGAUUGUAAAGCACUUUAAGUUGGGAGGAAGGGCAUUAACCUAAUACGUUAGUGUUUUGACGUUACCGACAGAAUAAGCACCGGCUAACUUCGUGCCAGCAGCCGCGGUAAUACGAAGGGUGCAAGCGUUAAUCGGAAUUACUGGGCGUAAAGCGCGCGUAGGUGGUUCGUUAAGUUGGAUGUGAAAGCCCCGGGCUCAACCUGGGAACUGCAUCCAAAACUGGCGAGCUAGAGUACGGUAGAGGGUGGUGGAAUUUCCUGUGUAGCGGUGAAAUGCGUAGAUAUAGGAAGGAACACCAGUGGCGAAGGCGACUACCUGGACUGAUACUGACACUGAGGUGCGAAAGCGUGGGGAGCAAACAGGAUUAGAUACCCUUGUAGUCC
rnacentral:rRNA from 1 species